rnacentral:rRNA from 1 species
UUAAGCGACUAAGCGUACACGGUGGAUGCCCUGGCAGUCAGAGGCGAUGAAGGACGUGCUAAUCUGCGAAAAGCGUCGGUAAGGUGAUAUGAACCGUUAUAACCGGCGAUGUCCGAAUGGGGAAACCCAGUGCAAUUCGUUGCACUAUCGUUAACUGAAUACAUAGGUUAACGAGGCGAACCGGGGGAACUGAAACAUCUAAGUACCCCGAGGAAAAGAAAUCAACCGAGAUUCCCCCAGUAGCGGCGAGCGAACGGGGAGCAGCCCAGAGUCUGAAUCAGCUUGUGUGUUAGUGGAACGGUCUGGAAAGUCCGACGGUACAGGGUGAUAGUCCCGUACACCAAAAUGCACAGGUUGUGAACUCGAAGAGUAGGGCGGGACACGUGGUAUCCUGUCUGAAUAUGGGGGGACCAUCCUCCAAGGCUAAAUACUCCUGACUGACCGAUAGUGAACCAGUACCGUGAGGGAAAGGCGAAAAGAACCCCGGCGAGGGGAGUGAAAAAGAACCUGAAACCGUGUACGUACAAGCAGUGGGAGCACCUUCGGGUGUGACUGCGUACCUUUUGUAUAAUGGGUCAGCGACUUAUAUUCUGUAGCAAGGUUAACCGUAUAGGGGAGCCGCAGGGAAACCGAGUCUUAACUGGGCGUUAAGUUGCAGGGUAUAGACCCGAAACCCGGUGAUCUAGCCAUGGGCAGGUUGAAGGUUGGGUAACACUAACUGGAGGACCGAACCGACUAAUGUUGAAAAAUUAGCGGAUGACUUGUGGCUGGGGGUGAAAGGCCAAUCAAACCGGGAGAUAGCUGGUUCUCCCCGAAAGCUAUUUAGGUAGCGCCUCGUGAACUCAUCUUCGGGGGUAGAGCACUGUUUCGGCUAGGGGGUCAUCCCGACUUACCAACCCGAUGCAAACUACGAAUACCGAAGAAUGUUAUCACGGGAGACACACGGUGGGUGCUAACGUCCGUCGUGAAGAGGGAAACAACCCAGACCGCCAGCUAAGGUCCCAAAGUCAUGGUUAAGUGGGAAACGAUGUGGGAAGGCACAGACAGCCAGGAUGUUGGCUUAGAAGCAGCCAUCAUUUAAAGAAAGCGUAAUAGCUCACUGGUCGAGUCGGCCUGCGCGGAAGAUGUAACGGGGCUAAACCAUGCACCGAAGCUGCGGCAGCGACACUAUGUGUUGUUGGGUAGGGGAGCGUUCUGUAAGCCUGCGAAGGUGUGCUGUGAGGCAUGCUGGAGGUAUCAGAAGUGCGAAUGCUGACAUAAGUAACGAUAAAGCGGGUGAAAAGCCCGCUCGCCGGAAGACCAAGGGUUCCUGUCCAACGUUAAUCGGGGCAGGGUGAGUCGACCCCUAAGGCGAGGCCGAAAGGCGUAGUCGAUGGGAAACAGGUUAAUAUUCCUGUACUUGGUGUUACUGCGAAGGGGGGACGGAGAAGGCUAUGUUAGCCGGGCGACGGUUGUCCCGGUUUAAGCAUGUAGGCUGGUUGUCCAGGCAAAUCCGGAUAAUCAAGGCUGAGGUGUGAUGACGAGGCACUACGGUGCUGAAGUAACAAAUGCCCUGCUUCCAGGAAAAGCCUCUAAGCAUCAGGUAACAUCAAAUCGUACCCCAAACCGACACAGGUGGUCAGGUAGAGAAUACCAAGGCGCUUGAGAGAACUCGGGUGAAGGAACUAGGCAAAAUGGUGCCGUAACUUCGGGAGAAGGCACGCUGGUGUGUAGGUGAAGUCCCUGCGGAUGGAGCUGAGACCAGUCGAAGAUACCAGCUGGCUGCAACUGUUUAUUAAAAACACAGCACUGUGCAAACACGAAAGUGGACGUAUACGGUGUGACGCCUGCCCGGUGCCGGAAGGUUAAUUGAUGGGGUUAUCCGUAAGGAGAAGCUCUUGAUCGAAGCCCCGGUAAACGGCGGCCGUAACUAUAACGGUCCUAAGGUAGCGAAAUUCCUUGUCGGGUAAGUUCCGACCUGCACGAAUGGCGUAAUGAUGGCCAGGCUGUCUCCACCCGAGACUCAGUGAAAUUGAACUCGCUGUGAAGAUGCAGUGUACCCGCGGCAAGACGGAAAGACCCCGUGAACCUUUACUAUAGCUUGACACUGAACAUUGAGCCUUGAUGUGUAGGAUAGGUGGGAGGCUUUGAAGCGUGGACGCCAGUCUGCGUGGAGCCAACCUUGAAAUACCACCCUUUAAUGUUUGAUGUUCUAACGUUGGCCCCUGACCGGGGUUGCGGACAGUGUCUGGUGGGUAGUUUGACUGGGGCGGUCUCCUCCCAAAGCGUAACGGAGGAGCACGAAGGUUAGCUAAUCCUGGUCGGACAUCAGGAGGUUAGUGCAAUGGCAUAAGCUAGCUUGACUGCGAGCGUGACGGCGCGAGCAGGUGCGAAAGCAGGUCAUAGUGAUCCGGUGGUUCUGAAUGGAAGGGCCAUCGCUCAACGGAUAAAAGGUACUCCGGGGAUAACAGGCUGAUACCGCCCAAGAGUUCAUAUCGACGGCGGUGUUUGGCACCUCGAUGUCGGCUCAUCACAUCCUGGGGCUGAAGUAGGUCCCAAGGGUAUGGCUGUUCGCCAUUUAAAGUGGUACGCGAGCUGGGUUUAGAACGUCGUGAGACAGUUCGGUCCCUAUCUGCCGUGGGCGCUGGAGAAUUGAGGGGGGCUGCUCCUAGUACGAGAGGACCGGAGUGGACGCAUCACUGGUGUUCGGGUUGUCAUGCCAAUGGCACUGCCCGGUAGCUAAAUGCGGAAGAGAUAAGUGCUGAAAGCAUCUAAGCACGAAACUUGCCCCGAGAUGAGUUCUCCCUGAGACUUUAAGUCUCCUGAAGGAACGUUGAAGACGACGACGUUGAUAGGCCGGGUGUGUAAGCGCAGCGAUGCGUUGAGCUAACCGGUACUAAUGAACCGUGAGGCUUAACCUU